GUGCUUGCUUCAGCAGCACAGAUAUCAAAAUUGGAAUGAUACAGAGAAGAUUAGCAUGGCCCCUGUACAAGGAUGACACACAAAUUCAUGAAGCCUUCCAUAUUUAA
ensembl:snRNA U6 U6 spliceosomal RNA